CCAGACUCCUACGGGAGGCAGCAGUGGGGGAUAUUGCACAAUGGGGGGAACCCUGAUGCAGCGACGCCGCGUGGGUGAAGGAGCACCUCGGUGCGUAAAGCCCUAUCGGCAGGGAAGAGACAGACGGUACCUGACUAAGAAGCCCCGGCUAACUACGUGCCAGCAGCCGCGGUAAUACGUAGGGGGCAAGCGUUAUCCGGAUUCACUGGGUGUAAAGGGAGCGUAGACGGCGACGCAAGUCUGGAGUGAAAGCCCGGGGCCCAACCCCGGGACUGCAUUGGAAACUGCCGGGCUGGAGUGCCGGAGGGGUAAGCGGAAUUCCUGGUGUAGCGGUGAAAUGCGCAGAUAUCAGGAAGAACACUGGUGGCGUAGGCGGCUUACUGGACGGCAACUGACGCUGAGGCUCGAAAGCGUGGGGAGCAAACAGGAUUAGAUACCCCGGUAAC
rnacentral:rRNA from 1 species